rfam:Gossypium raimondii Chr02_contig_584, whole genome shotgun sequence.
CACGUCAGAGCGCUUUGCUGACGUGGAAACAAAUCGCUUCCACAAAAGCACGAUUUGUGUCCACAUCAGCAAAGUGCGCUGACGUGG